AGUCAAUUUGCCAAAACUUCGAACAAGUUGUAUGGAACAAGAAAACAAGCAAUCGGCGAUUUUUAAAAGCUAUGCGUUAAAUGAUUCAGUGAACCUUUCUCAAAAU